rnacentral:rRNA from 1 species
UACGAAGGGGGCUAGCGUUGUUCGGAAUUACUGGGCGUAAAGCGCACGUAGGCGGAAAUUUAAGUCAGGGGUGAAAUCCCGGGGCUCAACCCCGGAACUGCCUUUGAUACUGGGUUUCUUGAGUUCGGAAGAGGUAAGUGGAAUUGCGAGUGUAGAGGUGAAAUUCGUAGAUAUUCGCAGGAACACCAGUGGCGAAGGCGGGUCUCUGGGCCGAUACUGACGCUGAGGAGCGAAAGCGUGGGGAGCGAACAGG